UACAGAGGGUGCGAGCGUUGUCCGGAAUCACUGGGCGUAAAGGGCGCGUAGGUGGCGCGACAAGUCAGUGGUGAAAGUUCGACGCUCAACGUCGAAUCGGCCACUGAUACUGUUGGGCUUGAGCACUGUAGAGGCUAAUGGAAUUCCGGGUGUAGCGGUGGAAUGCGUAGAGAUCCGGAAGAACACCGGUGGCGAAGGCGGUUAGCUGGGCAGUUGCU
rnacentral:rRNA from 1 species